rnacentral:lncRNA from 1 species
UGAGAUUCUAAGUGAUUAAAAAAAAUAGCUUUGGAAUUUGUACUAAGCCAACUGUGCACAUGGUACAGAAUGUUCUCAGAAGCAAUAGGACUCAUGAAUAAUAAGGCAGGCCAUUUCCUGGACUUUACAGUCUCCUUCGCCUGGCAUUCUCUCUUGCCCACAAACCUUUUGCCUGCUGACCUGAAUCUGGAUUCUCUCCUCUCCCAGGCAGCUAAUGCUGGAUUGCUCCAGAUGGCCAAGCUGAAUCAACACUACCCAGCAGGAAGGUUGGGUUCGUUUCACAGCAGCAACAGGGACAAGAAAAACCUGUCCUGGCAUCCUGAGUAG